rnacentral:tRNA from 1 species
GGGCCUCUAGCUCAAUGGUAGAGCUCCGGACUUUUAAUCCGUAGGUUGUGGGUUCGAAUCCCACGGGGCCUACCG